UCACACCCUGGGCUGGAGUCGGUCCCAGGCAGGACACAGCAUGGCCAUGAGGGUCCCCGCUCAGCUCCUGGGGCUCCUGCUGCUCUGGCUGCCAGGAGCCAGAUGUGAUAUCCAGUUGACUCAGCCUCCAGCUGUGUCUGCAUCUUUAUCAGAGAGAGUGACCAUCACUUGUCGAGCCAGCCAGAGUAUUAGCAGUAGUUUACACUGGUAUCAACAGAAACCAGGAGAAGCUCCCAAACUCCUGAUCUACGGUGCGACCACUGUGCAGUCUGGGGUCCCCUCGAGGUUCAGCGGCAGUAGGUCUGGGACAGAUUUCACCCUCACCAUCAGUGGCGUACAGGCUGAGGAUGCUGGAACUUAUUACUGUCAGCAGGGUUACAAUUACUUUCCACAGUGA